rnacentral:rRNA from 1 species
GAUGAACGCUGGCGGCGUGCCUAAUACAUGCAAGUCGAGCGAACAGACGAGGAGCUUGCUCCUCUGACGUUAGCGUCGGACGGGUGAGUAACACGUGGAUAACCUACCUAUAAGACUGGGAUAACUUCGGGAAACCGGAGCUAAUACCGGAUAAUAUAUUGAACCGCAUGGUUCAAUAGUGAAAGACGGUUUUGCUGUCACUUAUAGAUGGAUCCGCGCCGCAUUAGCUAGUUGGUAAGGUAACGGCUUACCAAGGCGACGAUGCGUAGCCGACCUGAGAGGGUGAUCGGCCACACUGGAACUGAGACACGGUCCAGACUCCUACGGGAGGCAGCAGUAGGGAAUCUUACGCAAUGGGCGAAAGCCUGACGGAGCAACGCCGCGUGAGUGAUGAAGGUCUUCGGAUCGUAAAACUCUGUUAUUAGGGAAGAACAAAUGUGUAAGUAACUAUGCACGUCUUGACGGUACCUAAUCAGAAAGCCACGGCUAACUACGUG